UACGGGGGGGGCAAGCGUUGUUCGGAAUUACUGGGCGUAAAGGGCUCGUAGGUGGCCAACUAAGUCAGACGUGAAAUCCCCAGGCUCAACUUGGGAACUGCGUCUGAUACUGGAUGGCUUGAAUUCGGGAGAGGGAUGCAGAAUUCCAGGUGUAGCGGUGAAAUGCGUAGAUAUCUGGAGGAACACCGGUGGCGAAGGCGGCAUCCUGGACCGGUAUUGACGCUGAGGCGCGAAAGCCAGGGGAGCAAACGGG
rnacentral:rRNA from 1 species